GUAGACGUGGUGCUGUGGCGCCGAGGCCGGGCCGACCUGAGCGCCCUACUCCCAGCGACCGCCGUCGCUUCCUAGAUCCUAUUCCACGUCGCCUCCGGAUACACGGCAGUGUCGCUGGCCGCCGACGUGCUCCUUCUCCUCCUGGCCGUGCUGUACGCGUGGUCCAGGGCCGCGCGCCUCCUCGGUCACCCCGCGCCGCCCAUCCCCGAUCUGCAGCCGGCGGCCGACGAGCUUGCCGCGCUCAUCCGUUCCGGCCUCGCCGGCAUCGCCUCCGCCUUCCGCCGCGUCGCGCAGGGCCAGCCUGGAUCCGGGCACGUCUUCGCCUGUCUCGCCGCCGCCGCCCUGCUCGCCAGGCUCGCGCGCGACCUCCCCUUAUGGUGCUACACAGGCACAGUGCUCCCUCCCUCCAUUCUCUUUGCUCUGCUUUCUUGUCUGAAUAAUACUGCGUCUUUCUUCAGAAUUCGACGACAUGGUUGA
rnacentral:rRNA from 1 species